UACGAAGGGGGCUAGCGUUGUUCGGAAUUACUGGGCGUAAAGAGUGUGUAGGCUGUGCUGAUAGUUAGGUGUGAAAUCCCCGGGCUCAACCCGGGAAUUGCACUUAAAACUACAGCGCUAGAGUACGGUAGAGGAUAGUGGAAUACCCAGUGUAGAGGUGAAAUUCGUAGAUAUUGGGUGGAACAUCGAUGGCGAAGGCAGCUAUCUGGGCCGUUACUGACGCUGAGACACGAAAGCGUGGGGAUCAAACAGG
rnacentral:rRNA from 1 species